rnacentral:rRNA from 1 species
GACGAACCGUGCGAACGUUGUUCGGAAUCACUGGGCAUAAAGGGCGCGUAGGCGGCUUAUCAAGUCAGGGGUGAAAUCCGGCAGCUCAACUGUCGAAGUGCCUUUGAUACUGAUGAGCUCGAGGGAGGUAGGGGUAUGCGGAACUUCCGGUGGAGCGGUGAAAUGCGUUGAUAUCGGAAGGAACGCCGGUGGCGAAAGCGGCUUACUGGGUCUCUUCUGACGCUGAGGUACGAAAGCCAGGGGAGCGAAGGGG